AUAGCAAAUGACUUGUGAUAAGAGAAACUUAGGCUUGUCUAUUUUCGUAUAAAGUGCAUAAAACUAAGGGGUUGUUUGGGGUGACCUAAAUAAGUGUAUUUUUUGUCUUUUUAUAAAAAGAUAUGCAGAAAAAUAAAGAAGUGAUGUGAUGGAAAAAAUAUAAAAAAAUAAAAAGAUGGAUUAUUUUGUAGUAGCCAAACUUGGCCUAAAACUCAUACGCUGUUUUCAGAGAGAGCAACUUGCAUACUGUUGAAUUGUUGACCGUCAACUCAUCUAAAAGCUCAAGCUGAUAGAGAGAGGGGCAACUUUAUUAUUUAUAUUAUUCUCAACAGAUAUGAUGUGUUGACUAACAAGAAUUAAGUGUCGUAGCCUGUGUGGUCAGUUCUUUUAUUAAAAUGAAUUAAGUAUUUAUGCUAGUUUUGAUUUCUAAAGUGUCUUACAGUUUACAAAUAUAACUUGCUUAACUAUGAGUAAUUUUCUGUCUUCCUUGCAAUGCUCUUUUACUUAUUCCAGAACCGCAAUUUUCUUCAAAGCUGAUCAGAUUGCAAUAUUUUUAUAAGUAAAACAAAAUCUCAGAGCUAGCCAGGGAGCGACUUAUCUCAUAGUAUUAGUAUGCUUACAUUCAUACCACUGGUUUUUUGCUGUGACAUUAUUUUUUUUAGGAAAAACAUUCUUCGGAGUGAGCAAUUCAAAUAAGGAGUGGCUCAUCACAUGCCAGUGCUUUGUUAUUUACAUAGACUAUUGACACUCUGUGAGAAGAGGACUUAUACAAAAUAAAAGGUCAUAUGAGGAUGUUUAUUUGCUGAUAAUUUGUGGGUUACCUUUCUGUGUACCCCAAAAAUACAUUGUCUGGUUACUCCCAGCUAUUCCAUAAUUUGCAACUUAAGUGAUUGAAGGUAUUGUGUGGUCAUUUGUAGUAAAUAAAAGGGGAAAUUACAAAUCAGUGUAGAAGAUCACAAAUAAUUACAAACACAUGGGCGGAGCAACGUUUUCUGUGCAACAAAACCACAACAAAAGUUGCAUCCCAAACCUAUUGCAUUUCUUGUAUGGAAUUUCAAUGCUACAUCCACAAACUUACAUCAGUGAGGGAAGUCAACCAUGGUUGGUAUAUUAAUCCUAAACCUAAGUAGUAGAUAAACAAAGCGUACUGAAGACUUACUCAAGUGAAGCUCCGAAACCUAACAGGUGAUAAAACCUUUAUCAUCCAAAUGUUAAGUUCGAACUCCUACGAUAUGUUAAAAGGUUUUUAUGAGUUUGGUAGUUGGUUUGGCUGAUCUGUUAAAUCAUGUGAAGUAGAACUAGUCCAAAAUGGCAUGCUGGUUCGUUAAAAAGAUUCGUUUGCAACUUUUAGAUAUCUGUUUGACUUGGUUCAUAGCUUCACAUAAUUUUAUGAAAAAAAGCGAGUCUGGAAUUGUUGUUGAUCUUACGAGUCAGCAUUAGAGGCUCUGAUCAUACCCAUCUCACAUAUAUUACAUAAGCUUUGUCUGGCUUUGAUUUGCAGGCACUGUUUCAUUCCAUUGUAUAGAAGUGGCACCCUCAUCGAGAGACGUAACUAUGUGGUCUCCUAAAUCUGGCUGGAUCUUUAUCCGGAAAAAUUACAAAAAGAAAUCUUAUGAAAGGUUUGAUUUUAUUGUUUGUAAGGCUGGUGAUGAUUUUUGGAUGCUGUCCACUUUAGGCAAGGAGGGCACUAGGUUGUGCUAAAUGAGUGUGUAUGGGUAUGAUUGACUGAAAUUUGUUUACAAAUUCAUGCAAACGAGAAACAUUCAUAAAAUUUUUGUUGCGCCUUUAUUUCCCCUGAUGAAGUUUUAUGAAAUGGUAUCAGUGGAUCCAAGAAAUUAGAGCUGAGAUUUCUUCUGAGUUGGGGUUUAUUGAAUGCUGCUUUGCUGAGGAAACAAACCUCUGCUGGGCUACUUGCACAGCGGUUAAGGGAGUGAAUUAUUGGAUGAGCCGUAAACUCAGGGCAUUUUGUGUUCAACUCAUUGGUGUCUCCCAGACUGAACUGAUACAUGUAUUGUAAAUAUGUGAGAUUUACGCUACAGGAAUGGGCUGAAGGCUACAACUUGGACCCUUCCCUCUCCUAAAGUGCCUCUAAUUUUAGAUGAAAAUGUGAUUUAAUUCCAAGAUUUUAAUAUUACAACAAGAUUUAAUUAA